rnacentral:rRNA from 1 species
UACGUAGGUGGCAAGCGUUGUCCGGAAUUAUUGGGCGUAAAGCGCGCGCAGGCGGUCUUUUAAGUCUGAUGUGAAAGCCCACGGCUCAACCGUGGAGGGUCAUUGGAAACUGGGGGACUUGAGUGCAGAAGAGGAAAGCGGAAUUCCAUGUGUAGCGGUGAAAUGCGUAGAGAUGUGGAGGAACACCAGUGGCGAAGGCGGCUUUCUGGUCUGUAACUGACGCUGAGGCGCGAAAGCGUGGGGAGCAAACAGG